UAUUCUUUCAUUCGACGAUUCCAUCACAAAAUUGAAAACCCACUUUUCAGAUGCUUGAUGCAAUUUAAUGUUAGUUUAGGGUUAUUUUAGCAAAGUGUUGGUGGAAUUUGAUUGUGUUUGUUGCUGAAUAAUUGAGUUUUGGUCGGCGGGUUGACAUGGCCAUGCUGCCUGUUUGCUCAGCCACCUCAUGCUGGUCUUCCCUUUCUCAGGUUUACGUACACGGAGGGUUGCAUGCCAGUUCCCAAUUCCCGAAGGAUUUUGAGGCCAGGUGCAUUGCGGAAUGUAGGGGCUCCCUAAGCUUGUCAAAUGCAAUGCAUUUUCAAAGAGGUUCCUUUAAAGCACAUGCUACAAAGUCUUUGUAUCCGAGCUUCGUGAAAAGCGCAGAACAAUCCGUCUCCGUGGAUUUUGUUAACAGGAGUUCCUGUUCAAAUGAAUCAGACCAUCUAAAGUGCAAGUAUUCAGACAUGUGGAGUUCCUCUACUAAAACCAUUUAUGAACAGCACCCGCCGGGAAGGGUGGAACUGAAAUUUGUAGACACCUCUAGCCUAUUGGCUCCUGAUGAGGGACUCGUUGACUUUACUAAUCCGUCGACUGAAAAUGAAAGUAUCUUAUCGGCACCCAUAGAACCUGAAAGCAUAUCAGCUACUGAUUUAACACCAGGGAAUUCCACCUCUGUACCCGACUCCUUAGACAUGGAUAGUGAUAAAUUAUCCAGUAUGAAAACUAGCGUUGAGGGCUUCUUCGACGGGGUUAGCAAAUCUUUCAGUGCAUCAGUAGAUAAGGGAGAAGAUACUGUUAAAACCUCACUAGAUACAAUCACUGCAUCAAUAUCAUCUGUUGUUAAAAGUGCUACCGAAGCAGUGGAUAAUACUGUUGACGGAUUGUUUUCAACGGUGGAUCAAGCGGGACAAUAUGGGGGUAGUAAAAUGACAAAUUUUUCAAGCGACUUUAAGGAAGCCACAAGUAAAGGAGCUGUUUUUGCUAUUGAUGUCUUGAGACGUUCAAUUGCUGUGGUGGAGGAUACUCUAUCAAAUGGGGCUUCCUUUGCUGUUAGUUCUUACCAGUCUGCCAAGGACUUUCUUCCUCCUGACAUCAGUGAUGCGCUAAAUUUGUCUGAAAAGAGAGUUGCAGAGCUCUUGGGGCCUGCCAAAACUGCUUUUCAACAGGUUUAUAUUUCGAUUGAGGGGUUGGAGGAAAAUCUUGGGUUGGACCCUAAUGAUCCAAUCGUUCCAUUUGUUCUAUUUCUUGGCACCUCAGCCACUUUAUGGGUCAUUUAUCGGGUGUGGACAUAUAGUGGUUACGCCGGAGAUUUAUCUCCUCAGUCGACAUUGGAGCUCUUGACAGGGAAAGAGAAUGCUGUGCUCAUUGGUGUCCGACCUGAGGUUCUGAGAGAAAGAGAGGGUAUUCCAGAUCUUCGACGAGCAGCUCGCUUUCGCUAUGCAAGUGUGGCUCUACCUGAGGUUGAUGGCGCUGUAUGGAAAUUAGUGAAGAGAGGAAGGGAUCUUAAUGACACCUUAACUGCUGCUGUUAUUCGGAACUUGAAGAUUGUUCGGGACAGGUCCAAGGUCAUAGUUAUGGAAGCUGAUGGUACUCUUUCCAAAGGUAUUGCAAGAUCCUUGAGAAAGCUUGGGCUCAAGGCAAAAACCGUACUUGGUUCAAGGUGGCUUUCAAUCUUGGGUGAAAUAUGGUCUCCGUAUCAAGGAACUCAAACCUGAGACAACAUUUACCAUACUCAAUGAGGUAUUUAUCUCUUUGAAGCUGUUUGUUCUUGUAAGUUAUAACAGAUACAAGAGAUGAUAAUAUGCUGGUUGGUGAAUUUUUACGAAUGGCACCUAAUUCCCUUGAUAAUAACCGAUGCGAUUACUUUCUUUUCAACAACGUUGUUGGAUUGCAGUGGCUGAGGCUCUCUUGUAUAUGUAACGUGGACCCCUUUUUUUUUAGCUUUGUUGAAAAAGAAGAAAGUGAAUGAGAUAAAUAUGUUUGACAACCAGAAGAAUAGUCAUGACUGCAUUCAACACAGAUUAUUGCUGUUUUCCCCCUUUCUGCCACUUUUUUACAGAAUUGUAAACCAGAUUUGAGCUUUUCACUUGUGCACAAUUGCAAAAAUUGUAUCAUUUUAGGAUGCUGAGGCAAUUCUGGAGGAUAUCAGUCCUUCUCCGGUGCAAGUUCUUGGGUCUGGUGUGGGAUUGAUUGCAGCAUUGUAUGCACUACUAGAGUGGGAGAAGAAGUUACAACUGAUUGGUGUUGUUGGCGUUGGUCAG